AGCGAACGCUGGCGGCAGGCUUAACACAUGCAAGUCGAGCGGGCACUUUCGGGUGUCAGCGGCGGACGGGUGAGUAACGCGUGGGAACGUGCCCUCUGGUUCGGAAUAACUCAGGGAAACUUGAGCUAAUACCGGAUACGCCCUUUUGGGGAAAGGCUUGCUGCCGGAGGAUCGGCCCGCGUCUGAUGAGCUAGUUGGUGAGGUAACGGCUCACCAAGGCGACGAUCAGUAGCUGGUCUGAGAGGAUGAUCAGCCACACUGGGACUGAGACACGGCCCAGACUCCUACGGGAGGCAGCAGUGGGGAAUAUUGGACAAUGGGCGCAAGCCUGAUCCAGCCAUGCCGCGUGAGUGAUGAAGGCCUUAGGGUUGUAAAGCUCUUUUAUCCGGGACGAUAAUGACGGUACCGGAGGAAUAAGCCCCGGCUAACUUCGUG
rnacentral:rRNA from 1 species